CCUACGGGUGGCUGCAGUGGGGAAUAUUGGACAAUGGGCGAAAGCCUGAUCCAGCCAUGCCGCGUGUGUGAAGAAGGCCUUCGGGUUGUAAAGCACUUUCAGUGGGGAAGAAAGCCUUGGGGCUAAUACCCUCGAGGAAGGACAUCACCCACAGAAGAAGCACCGUCUAACUCCGUGCCAGCAGCCGCGGUAAUACGGAGGGUGCGAGCGUUAAUCGGAAUUACUGGGCGUAAAGCGCGCGUAGGCGGUCUGAUAAGCCGGUUGUGAAAGCCCCGGGCUCAACCUGGGAACGGCAUCCGGAACUGUCAGGCUAGAGUGCAGGAGAGGAAGGUAGAAUUCCCGGUGUAGCGGUGAAAUGCGUAGAGAUCGGGAGGAAUACCAGUGGCGAAGGCGGCCUUCUGGACUGACACUGACGCUGAGGUGCGAAAGCGUGGGUAGCAAACAGGAUUAGAUACCCGGGUAGUC
rnacentral:rRNA from 1 species